GACGUAGGUGGCGAACGUUAUCCGGAUUUAUUGGGUUUAAAGGGUCCGUAGGCGGAUCUGUAAGUCAGUGGUGAAAUCUCACAGCUUAACUGUGAAACUGCCAUUGAUACUGCAGGUCUUGAGUGUUAUUGAAGUAGCUGGAAUAAGUAGUGUAGCGGUGAAAUGCAUAGAUAUUACUUAGAACACCAAUUGCGAAGGCAGGUUACUAAGCAACAACUGACGCUGAUGGACGAAAGCGUGGGGAGCGAACAGG
rnacentral:rRNA from 1 species